rnacentral:rRNA from 1 species
AUUGAACGCUGGCGGAAUGCUUUACACAUGCAAGUCGAACGGCAGCGCGGACUUCGGUCUGGUGGCGAGUGGCGAACGGGUGAGUAAUGUAUCGGAACGUGCCCAGUCGUGGGGGAUAACGUAGUGAAAAUUACGCUAAUACCGCAUACGAUCUAUGGAUGAAAGUGGGGGAUCGCAAGACCUCGCGCGAUUGGAGCGGCCGAUAUCAGAUUAGGUAGUUGGUGGGGUAAGGGCCCACCAAGCCAACGAACUGUAGCUGGUCUGAGAGGACGACCAGCCACACUGGAACUGAGACACGGUCCAGACUCCUACGGGAGGCAGCAGUGGGGAAUUUUGGACAAUGGGCGAAAGCCUGAUCCAGCCAUUCCGCGUGCAGGAUGAAGGUCCUCGGGUUGUAAACUGCUUUUGUACAGAACGAAAAGGUUUCUACUAAUACUAGGAGCUCAUGACGGUACUGUAAGAAUAAGCACCGGCUAACUACGUGCCAGCCGCCGCGGUAA